rnacentral:rRNA from 1 species
CGUUUAGUAAUUGAGUCCCCCCAAAUGAGAAAGACAAAAACACAAACGAAUUCUCGAGAGGACAGGAGGGGGGUUUUAAUUGGUGGCCUUUUUUUUUUAUCUAUUUUUACGUUUUAAGAUCAUUCAUUUAAAAUUUUAACCAAUUUUAACACAAAUCCAAUCAUAUUUAGAAAAACAAAUCUAAAAAAUUUAUAUAAUAAGAUUUUUAAUUUACAGUUUAGUAGAACGCCAUGGAAGAAAAAAGGCAACCCCUCCUUAAAUUCAAGAGCCGGCCCCGAAUAUUCCUCUAUGUAAUCAUCCUCCUUUAUUUUUAACGGGGAAGGAAAUAAAUAAAAAGCAGUAAGUACUUUUUAUUUUUUCUUUUUUGGGGGGGAGGGGGUAGUGAAUAGAAGUAAUUUUUAUUCCAUUAUCCACAAACAUGUAGAGGUUGGAGGCCCCCUUUAUCUAAUUAUUUUUAGUGGAGGAAGGCUCUCCCCCCGCCUAAACAUCUAUAUAUUCCCCGCCCCCGCGAGAGGAGUGUGUGUUCCCCCACAGCGGGUGGUAACACCCCCCCCCCCCCCUCUUUUUUGCUGGGGGGGCGCACUAGGGAUAUUUUUUCCCCACAAAGAAAAAAUUUUUUUAGAAAAAAACACCCCCGUGUUUGUAUUAGGGGGCUUUUCGCUCUGCUAAAACCUCGCGUGGUGGGGGAGGAUACAACUUACCCGCCAUACUUUUUUUUUCUCUUCAAGGGGCGAGCUUCUAAUAUUUCCCUGGGGCCUUGGGGGUGGCCCCACCGCGCCUAUUUAUUCUUUGGGUGGGUGAUUCUGUUCAUUAAAUUGGGUUAAAGGGGGACCCCCCCCUUUAUAUAUAUGUUAUUUCCUUCGUCAGAUGAACGCUGGCGGCGUGCCUAAUACAUGCAAGUCGAGCGAACUGAUUAGAAGCUUGCUUCUAUGACGUUAGCGGCGGACGGGUGAGUAACACGUGGGCAACCUGCCUGUAAGACUGGGAUAACUUCGGGAAACCGAAGCUAAUACCGGAUAGGAUCUUCUCCUUCAUGGGAGAUGAUUGAAAGAUGGUUUCGGCUAUCACUUACAGAUGGGCCCGCGGUGCAUUAGCUAGUUGGUGAGGUAACGGCUCACCAAGGCAACGAUGCAUAGCCGACCUGAGAGGGUGAUCGGCCACACUGGGACUGAGACACGGCCCAGACUCCUACGGGAGGCAGCAGUAGGGAAUCUUCCGCAAUGGACGAAAGUCUGACGGAGCAACGCCGCGUGAGUGAUGAAGGCUUUCGGGUCGUAAAACUCUGUUGUUAGGGAAGAACAAGUACGAGAGUAACUGCUCGUACCUUGACGGUACCUAACCAGAAAGCCACGGCUAACUACGUGCCAGCAGCCGCGGUAAUACGUAGGUGGCAAGCGUUAUCCGGAAUUAUUGGGCGUAAAGCGCGCGCAGGCGGUUUCUUAAGUCUGAUGUGAAAGCCCACGGCUCAACCGUGGAGGGUCAUUGGAAACUGGGGAACUUGAGUGCAGAAGAGAAAAGCGGAAUUCCACGUGUAGCGGUGAAAUGCGUAGAGAUGUGGAGGAACACCAGUGGCGAAGGCGGCUUUUUGGUCUGUAACUGACGCUGAGGCGCGAAAGCGUGGGGAGCAAACAGGAUUAGAUACCCUGGUAGUCCACGCCGUAAACGAUGAGUGCUAAGUGUUAGAGGGUUUCCGCCCUUUAGUGCUGCAGCUAACGCAUUAAGCACUCCGCCUGGGGAGUACGGUCGCAAGACUGAAACUCAAAGGAAUUGACGGGGGCCCGCACAAGCGGUGGAGCAUGUGGUUUAAUUCGAAGCAACGCGAAGAACCUUACCAGGUCUUGACAUCCUCUGACAACUCUAGAGAUAGAGCGUUCCCCUUCGGGGGACAGAGUGACAGGUGGUGCAUGGUUGUCGUCAGCUCGUGUCGUGAGAUGUUGGGUUAAGUCCCGCAACGAGCGCAACCCUUGAUCUUAGUUGCCAGCAUUUAGUUGGGCACUCUAAGGUGACUGCCGGUGACAAACCGGAGGAAGGUGGGGAUGACGUCAAAUCAUCAUGCCCCUUAUGACCUGGGCUACACACGUGCUACAAUGGAUGGUACAAAGGGCUGCAAGACCGCGAGGUCAAGCCAAUCCCAUAAAACCAUUCUCAGUUCGGAUUGUAGGCUGCAACUCGCCUACAUGAAGCUGGAAUCGCUAGUAAUCGCGGAUCAGCAUGCCGCGGGUGAAUACGUUCCCGGGCCUUGUACACACCGCCCGUCACACCACGAGAGUUUGUAACACCCGAAGUCGGUGGAGUAACCGUAAGGAGCUAGCCGCCUAAGGUGGGACAGAUGAUUGGGGUGAAUCUAGAAAAAAACCCCCAAAAAAAAAAAAGGGGGUUUUUUUUCCCCGGGUUGUUGUAGGUUAUGAUCCCCCUCGGGGAGAAAAAAAAAUAUACCUUC